AGAGUUUGAUCCUGGCUCAGGACGAACGCUGGCGGCGUGCCUAACACAUGCAAGUCGAACGGAAAAUUGAGCUUCGGUUCAAUUUUUAGUGGCGAACGGGUGAGUAACGCGUAGGCAACCUGCCCUUUAGACGGGGACAACAUUCCGAAAGGGAUGCUAAUACCGGAUGUGACGCUCUUAUCGCAUGACGGGAGCGUGAAAGAUGGCCUCUACACGUAAGCUAUCGCUAAAGGAUGGGCCUGCGUCUGAUUAGCUAGUUGGUAGUGUAACGGACAACCAAGGCGAUGAUCAGUAGCCGGUCUGAGAGGAUGAACGGCCACAUUGGGACUGAGACACGGCCCAGACUCCUACGGGAGGCAGCAGUGGGGAAUCUUCCGCAAUGGGCGAAAGCCUGACGGAGCAACGCCGCGUGAGUGAAGAAGGUCUUCGGAUUGUAAAGCUCUGUUGUACAUGACGAAUGUGCCGGUUGUGAAUAAUGACUGGUAAUGACGGUAGUGUACGAGGAAGCCACGGCUAACUACGUGCCAGCAGCCGCGGUAAUACGUAGGUGGCAAGCGUUGUCCGGAAUUAUUGGGCGUAAAGAGCAUGUAGGCGGCCUAUUAAGUCGGGCGUGAAAAUGCGGGGCUCAACCCCGUAUGGCGCCCGAUACUGGUGGGCUUGAGUGCAGGAGAGGAAAGGGGAAUUCCCAGUGUAGCGGUGAAAUGCGUAGAUAUUGGGAGGAACACCAGUGGCGAAGGCGCCUUUCUGGACUGUGUCUGACGCUGAGAUGCGAAAGCCAGGGGAGCGAACGGGAUUAGAUACCCCGGUAGUCCUGGCCGUAAACGAUGGGUACUAGGUGUAGGAGGUAUCGACCCCUUCUGUGCCGGAGUUAACGCAAUAAGUACCCCGCCUGGGGAGUACGACCGCAAGGUUGAAACUCAAAGGAAUUGACGGGGGCCCGCACAAGCGGUGGAGUAUGUGGUUUAAUUCGACGCAACGCGAAGAACCUUACCAAGUCUUGACAUCCCUUGACGAACAUAGAAAUAUGUUUUCUCUUCGGAGCAAGGAGACAGGUGGUGCAUGGUUGUCGUCAGCU
rnacentral:rRNA from 1 species